rnacentral:rRNA from 1 species
UACGUAGGGUGCAAGCGUUAAUCGGAAUUACUGGGCGUAAAGCGUGCGCAGGCGGUUGUGCAAGACAGAUGUGAAAUCCCCGGGCUCAACCUGGGAAUUGCAUUUUGUGACUGCACGGCUAGAGUGUGUCAGAGGGGGGUAGAAUUCCACGUGUAGCAGUGAAAUGCGUAGAGAUGUGGAGGAAUACCGAUGGCGAAGGCAGCCCCCCUGGGAUACACUGACGCUCAUGCACGAAAGCGUGGGGAGCAAACAGG